rnacentral:rRNA from 1 species
UUAAACUUCCCUUCGGGGAAGAUAUAAAGUGGCGCACGGGUGAGUAACACGUAAGUAAUCUGCCUUCGAGUGGGGAAUAACCCGGGGAAACCCGAGCUAAUACCGCAUAACGCAGCGGCAUCGCAAGAUGACAGUUGUUAAAGGAGCAAUCCGCUUGAAGAGGAGCUUGCGGCAGAUUAGCUAGUUGGUAAGGUAAUGGCUUACCAAGGCUACGAUCUGUAUCCGGUCUAAGAGGACGGUCGGACACACUGACACUGAAUAACGGGUCAGACUCCUACGGGAGGCAGCAGUCGGGAAUUUUGGGCAAUGGGCGAAAGCCUGACCCAGCAACGCCGCGUGAAGGAUGAAGUAUUUCGGUAUGUAAACUUCGAAAGAAUGGGAAGAAUAAAUGACGGUACCAUUUAUAAGCCCCGGCUAACUACGUGCCAGCAGCCGCGGUAAUACGUAGGGGGCAAGCGUUGUUCGGAUUUACUGGGCGUAAAGGGCGCGUAGGCGGCAAUUCAAGUCAUCUGUGAAAUCUCCGGGCUUAACUCGGAACGGUCAGAUGAUACUGCUUUGCUAGAGUGCAGAAAGGGCAAUCGGAAUUCUUGGUGUAGCGGUGAAAUGCGUAGAUAUCAAGAGGAACACCUGAGGCGAAGGCGGGUUGCUAGGCUGACACUGACGCUGAGGCGCGAAAGCCAGGGGAGCAAACGGGAUUAGAUACCCCGGUAGUCCUGGCCCUAAACGAUGAAUACUUGGUGUCUGGAGUUAUUAUUGCUCUGGGUGCCGUCGCUAACGUUUUUAGUAUUCCGCCUGGGGAGUACGCUCGCAAGAGUGAAACUCAAAGGAAUUGACGGGGACCCGCACAAGCGGUGGAGCAUGUGGUUUAAUUCGACGCAACGUGAAGAACCUUACCU